ACAGCCAUAUGAUAUUUAAACACCGGUUCACAUCCGAUCACCGAAGUUAAGCAACGUCGGCCCUGGUCAGUAACUAGAUAGGUGACAGCUUGGGAAUACCAGGUGCUGUAAG